CACAGGGAUCCCCUAGUACGGCGAGUGAAGCGGGAACAGCUCAAAUUUGAAAUCUGGCCCUCGGGUCCGAGUUGUAAUUUGUAGAGGAUGCUUUUGGUGCGGUGCCUUCCGAGUUCCCUGGAACGGGACGCCUUAGAGGGUGAGAGCCCCGUACGGUUGGACGCCUAGCCUCUGUAAAGCUCCUUCGACGAGUCGAGUAGUUUGGGAAUGCUGCUCUAAAUGGGAGGUAUAUUUCUUCUAAAGCUAAAUACUGGCCAGAGACCGAUAGCGCACAAGUAGAGUGAUCGAAAGAUGAAAAGCACUUUGAAAAGAGGGUUAAAUAGCACGUGAAAUUGUUGAAAGGGAAGCGUUUAUCACCAGACUUUUUCUAGGGGGAUCAUCCGGUGUUCUCACCGGUGCACUUCCCCUGGUUGAGGCCAGCAUCGGUUUUCGGAGGGGGAUAAAAGCUUCGGGAAUGUGACUCCCUCGGGAGUGUUAUAGCCCGUUGCAUAAUACCCUUCUGGGGACCGAGGUUCGCGCAUCUGCAAGGAUGCUGGCAUAAUGGUGAUCAACGACCCGUCUUGAAACACGGACCAAGGAGUCGAACAUUUAUGCGAGUGUUUGGGUGUCAAACCCUCACGCGUAAUGAAAGUGAACGGAGGUGAGAGCCCUUACGGGUGCAUCAUCGACCGAUCCUGAUGUCUUCGGAUGGAUUUGAGUAAGAGCAUAACUGUUCGGACCCGAAAGAUGGUGAACUAUGCGUGGAUAGGGUGAAGCCAGGAGAAAUCCUGGUGGAGGCUCGCAGCGGUUCUGACGUGCAAAUCGAUCGUCAAAUCUGCGCAUGGGGGCGAAAGACUAAUCGA
rnacentral:rRNA from 1 species